AUGCUAAAUUUCUCCAAACCUGUUCCAAUGAAGAAAAACUCAUCUACAUCUUGGAUGAGUACAUUUUUCACUUACACAACAUUCUGGAGUCAGGAAUGGAUUCUAACCACAGUAAUAUGUACCACAGUGGCCAUGCUACAAAUAAUUACUGCCCAUUGCUUUGAUGGAUUUUCCAAUCUCUUUUUUUUUGCAGUUGAAUGCCAUUCACAACAGAAAUCUUUUGUUUUUUAGGCCUGUUUAAAUGUUAUAGCACCAGCUAUUUUCUGAUCUUAAUGAAACUUUGCAUGAUUGGUGGGUCAUCUUUCACAUGUUAUAACCAAGUUUCAUAAAGUUUUGAGUUUUUGUUUCAGUUUUAUAGGCUUUAGGUUACAUGUGGCCACGGCCCUUUCCUAAAUGACCUCUUAUAGCUAACCAAAGGACAAAAUACAACAUAUUUUUUCAAAGUUAUUGAUCUAGAGAGUCCUGAGAAUAUUACUGCAGUGGUUUGAUCAAGACUGAACAAAAAACCAGGUGACCCAAAACAUUCAAAUUCGUGGACCAAUUUUACGAAAAAGGCUAUAACUCGGGAACAAAAUGAGAUAUCUUCACCAAACUCAGAACUCAUAUGCAUGAAAAAAAACUUUAGUCAAAUUAUUAUUAUUUUUCCAUAUCUGCCACUUGGUGGCGCUACAGGAUGAAAAAAAAUCAAAUUGCUAUAACUAAGCAACCGUUGAUCCAAUCAACUUGAAAAUUGAUAUGGCCCAAUGUGGCACAAGUGCUCUAUGAGGAAUUUCACUUAUCUUAAAAAACAUGGCCACCAUUGGCCAAACAACUUUAAUCACCUAUUUGACAAGGUUAAUGGAAGUCGAUCGGAACGAAACUCGGUGGGCAUGUUCGACUCAUUGCCAUAAAGGUCUGUAAGUAUUUUGAAAGAAAUUGCCCACAACAUUGUCACCUCCCACAGAACACAACAAAGCGAUUUGAUUACAGCGCCACCUAUUUUCCAAAAAUGAUAAUGCAUCAUUUUACUGGAGUUUUACUGGCUGUUUCAAUUACACUCUUCCAAUAAUUGCUUUUCUUACUCGUUGCAUUGGGUCUGAUGCUCCAUGCCAUGCUUAGCUCCUCGCUGUGGAACUUUUAUUAACGAUUUUCAGCCAUUUCAAUUACAAUCAUGCAAUUAUUAAUUUCAUUAUUCAUUGUUGCAUUUGGUCUGAUGCUACAUAUGCUUAGCUCCUGAUGUUGCCGCUGGAAUGCUUGGCCCCGUGAUUGCUGCUUGCAGCUAUAUUUAUUAUUAUUAUUUUCUGAAUGUGUUUCUUCGUCUGCUUGCUCACAUUGUUUUGAACUAUGCAGUCAGUAUAACUGUGU
rnacentral:lncRNA from 1 species